rnacentral:rRNA from 1 species
UUAACGCGUGAAGGCGAGCACUCUAGACGAACUGCCGUUGACAAACGGAGGAAGGUGGGGAUGACGUCAAAUCAUCAUGCCCCUUAUGUUCUGGGCUACACACGUGCUACAAUGGCCGGUACAGACGGACGCAAAGCCGCGAGGUGGAGCAAAUCCUAAAAAGCCGGUCUCAGUUCGGAUUGCAGGCUGCAAUUCGCCUGCAUGAAGUCGGAAUCGCUAGUAAUCGCAGGUCAGCAUACUGCGGUGAAUACGUUCCCGGGCCUU